rnacentral:rRNA from 1 species
GACGAACGCUGGCGGCGUGCUUAACACAUGCAAGUCGAACGGUGAAGCGCCUUCCUUUUUGGUGGGUGUGGAUGAGUGGCGAACGGGUGAGUAACACGUGAGUAACCUGCCCCCUUCUUCUGGAUAACCGCAUGAAAGUGUGGCUAAUACGGGAUAUUCUGGGUCUGUCGCAUGAUGGGUCUGGGAAAGAUAUUGUUUCGGUGGGGGAGGGGCUCGCGGCCUAUCAGCUUGUUGGUGGGGUGAUGGCCUACCAAGGCGGUGACGGGUAGCCGGCCUGAGAGGGUCGACGGUCACACUGGGACUGAGACACCGCCCAGACUCCUACGGGAGGCAGCAGUGGGGAAUAUUGCACAAUGGGCGCAAGCCUGAUGCAGCGCCGCCGCGUGAGGGAUGGAGGCCUUCGGGUUGUGAACCUCUUUCGCCAGUGAAGCAGGCCUGCCUCGUUUGUGGGUGGGUUGACGGUAGCUGGAUAAGAAGCGCCGGCUAACUACGUG